rnacentral:pre_miRNA from 1 species
GGCAGAGACAGGAGCAACUGCUGGUGUGCCUUGGGAGCAUUGCACUUGUCUCGGUCUG